CUUGGAUUCCUCCUUGGAAUACUGAACACUUACUUCCCUUUGCAUUAAAAUCAAAACUACUAAAAAGAAAAAGAUGACUGCGCCAAGCUUCCAGAACUUUUUAUGACCUUUGUGUAGGUCUGGGAAAGCGUUUGCGGAGCAGCGACGUAGGCUGGAAGGACACACACAGCCUUACUGCCCAAGUCAAGUCCUGGAAGAAGGAUGGAGUUGGGGAGGUCAACUCUAGGAAAGCUGUUCCCUGUAUUACAGCUACCACUGGAGAAAGCCAUGGAAGGAGCUGCGCGAUGGGUAUGUUCAUUAAGAGCCCUGAAGCCAGGAAGGGAAGGCCCCGUUACGCUCAGUGUCCUUGAAGCCCUUUGCUGACAGGGCUGAACACUGCCCCAGUUGGCACAACAGGGGAAAUACUUAGGCGGUUCUGCUCCAAUCCUGCAGAGCAGGCUCAUAACUGAAGCACACAAAUAGCACACUGGGAAGCGGUGAAGGCUAUCCUUUGGGCUAUUCUGGGGUUGAUGGUGUUCUCUGCAGGUGAGGAACACAGCAGCAGUUCUGGCCAGGCCUCCACUUCGACACACCAGGCCCACUCCGGUAGCUGGGGAGGGGGGUUCUGGCUGAGGUCCAUGGUCCACGGGAUGUGUUACUUUCUCCAUUUGAUCAUUAAAAGCUUUCUCUUGAAGUCAAAAUCCUUCGGUAUAUUUAGAUGAGAUAAACCUCUUCAGGGUCUGCCCCUUCUGAAAGGCUUACACACAUAUCCUCAAAUUCCAGCAUCGCCAGUUUUCAAGGCUCAAGGCUUUCAAGGCUCUGGCCAUACAACCACUGUAACUUCCAUUCAACCAAUAAAGAUUUGUACCUCUGGCUACCUCUCAUUCUAACCACAGUGGAAAAACACAAUUUCUACCUAUAAGAAGAAUUUCCUUUGGGGGGAGGGCAUCUUUUACAACUAACAAUGGGCAGGGCUAAAUUCUACAGGUGCUAUCAGGUAACUGUGCAAACUCAUCUGUCAAUCAGGUUUGAGUGUUCUUAUCAUUUGGACUAAGGAAAGUCCACCCAAGACGUCAUAGAUAUGAGCUGGAAGGAAAAAAGUGUUAUGGUUUGGGAAAGUGUCACCCAAAGAGCCAUGUGUUAAUGGCUUGCCUGCCCUCACCCCCACUCAGAGGAGGGAGCACGUGAAGAAGUGAAGCCUAAUGUGAGCGCAAUUCCAUCUGUCACCUGACCCCGGUAAGCUGCUAAUUUGAUAUUUUCAGUUUCUAGGAACUGAUGCAGAAGUCUGAGUACUUCCUUUUCUCCGAAGAAUACUCUCUAGUAAAUGGCUGUGGGUCCGGCUGGGGAAGGGUUCUGGAUCUGUGAAUUGACAUAGGUUUGGAAAAUAAUUGAGACUAAAGCUCUUAGUUCUGACAAUUAAACGUUGCUUAUCUGUUUCAUUCAUUAUAGUGACCACUAGGGAUCUGCCAAGAACAUCUCAGCUACCAAAAGUGAUACAGAAGGCAAGGCUUGCUGAUGAUUCUAUAGCCCUACCUUCCAUUAGGGAAGAUCUAUCUACUCUGUCUUUGGUGGCUAAUGCUGGCUGCCUCUUUGCUUCAGUUGCUAUAGGAUCCCAUUAACUCCACUGACACCAGGACGCUCAUCUCAAAAGGCCUAAAGAGAGCAACCAACAGGCUGCUUUUUCAAAGGUGCAAAGGCCCCACUCAGAGAUGGAGUUCACAACACCUAGGGAAGGAAUGCUGACUGACCCUAUGGAAUGGAGCUGGAGGGGGAGUGUCCAAGACGCACUUGGGAGGCUGUGAGAGUCGAUGAGUUGAGGAUGCUGCUGCUUGGUGGAAGAAACUUGCUGAUGGACUCUCUGUCCUCAUAAGGAACACGGCGUCAGACAACGACAACAAGAGAAAGGCCUGUUGCAUGCUACCUUUGAAAACGAUGCCCGUCAUGAAAAGACUAAUGACAAAAAUAGAUCAUGAAAAAUAUGUGUGAAGGUAAUAAUGGUUUUCCUACUGAGGUCUCUUAAUUUUCCUAAUUCCACAAACCAUUACUCAGGAAGAUACAUUAUACAAAAUAAUAGAGGGAAUAAACAGGAAGGGUCACAUCAGCUAAAAAAAAAAAAAUAUCAUAGCAAAACCAGAGGACAAGAUAGAGGGAGCCAAUCAAUCAUCUGAUGUUUCGAUUAUGUAAAACUAAGGAGAUCUUGGAAUACAAAGAAGUCAGACUCCAACUAAUAUACGGAAAACUUAGGCAGGUUGUUUUUCUUAAAUUAACUAACAAAGUGUUAAAAAGCAACCUCCAAGCUAGCCAUGGGACACAUGCUGGUAGCCUCAACUAUUUGGAGGCUGAAGGGUAACUUACAUCAGAAGCGUUUGAGACCAACCUGGUCUAUUAUAGACCAAACCUGACUCUAUAUCAGAUAAAAGAAAAACUACAAAUCAAGACUAAUGCCUAGCUGAGUGUAGUGGUACCCAUUUGCAAUCAGAACACUCCAGCCUGAGGCAAGAGAAUAUUGAGAAUGCCCUGGACUACACAGAGAACGCUAGGCCAAGCUGGGCUUAUACAUGAAAGUGUGCUUCAAACGCCAAACCAAAUAACCUCAAUAGGCUUGCUUGGAUUUGUAGCGAACAAUAUCUACAUAUUCAUAACAAAUAAAUAUGAAAAUGCAAACAAAGAAUGAGACUUCCAUGCUGAGGAAGGAGUAGCAGAGGUGUAUGUGUGAGUGAAAGAGAUAAAUAUUUGUCCGCUAUAAUGAGAAGUCAGCAGACAACGCCAAACACCGACAUGAGAAACAGAACCAGAAGCGUAUUAUUCCAGAGGAGAACACUGCGUGAGGCAGCUAACGAGAGAGUGGACCAGUGACUGGAGAGUUCUAGUUACAGCUGUUACAGUAGUCCCACUUAGCUUUAUUCACACAUAAGGUGGAUGGAAGUACUGAUUUAUAAUCAGACUUAAACGGCUCUGUUAUCUGAGAUGUCAAGAACCUACUAGGUGGAAGUGAGUGAACUAAUCUCUCGUUUUAAUUUUCCUUUUCUCUAUAAAAAGGGAGAAAACCAGGAUAUACUUCACAAGUUGCUGUGAAAAUUUAAUGAGUUACAUGCAAAUUACUUAAAAUGUAUUGGACAAAUGAGCAGCAGUGAACAAGGAUCAAUCAUUACUAAGGUGAUAAAUACGAAUUAUUACAUGAUAAAAACACAUUAGUUAUUAGUGACUGAAAACAUGGUUUAACCUGCGGGGUAAAUAUUAAAGUUGGCCACCCUCUUCUGGGAGGAAAUUCAUUUUAAAGGUUAAUACAUACCUGAGUACCAAGUAGCUGGUUAUUUCUUUAGGCUAAAGUUUAGUGUGUGGUUGGAAGUAAGGGUAGUGGAGAGAGUACAAAUUCCAGAGAGAGAGAGAGAGAGAGAGAGAGAGAGAGAGAGAGAGAGAGAGAGAGAGAGAGAGAGAGAGAGAGAGAAGUCCCAGCUAUAGUUAGAGGUGAAAACGAAGGAGGUCAGAUCGGAACAUGAAGGUUGAGUAUUAGCCCUAGCCCUACAGGCCCAAAGGUAGGGAGGUGCCUAUUACAGGCAGAAAGAAUGGCACUUGGCAAUGACCUGCAGGCAAGAAGAACCUGGCAGUGAAAGAGGCUGCCAGAGCUCAGGCAGGAGGGGUGUGGGGCAGCAGCAGCUGAGUCAUGCCCAGGCUUUAGGCCACAUUAAAGGGUUUGUCUUACCCUAAGGGCGUGGAAGGGCUUUGAGAAGGGGUCACUGUGGCCAAGUAUUUUGAAAACUCUCAUUCUGGAUGCAGUGUGAAGAACAAACCAGAAAGACAUCAGAAGUAGUUGAGAAAGCCUAGCCAUCACAAAAGUCUAGCAGAGAGAUGGUGGUCUUAAUGGGCCUAGAGAAAAAUGCAUAGAUUUGGGAGAUGCUUAUUUAAGAGAUAAAAUUAAGAGAGUUUGGCCAUUGUAAGAAAUUUGAAAGGAAACAGCUAAUAUCAAGGACUCUUUCUCUAUUUUCUGUCUGCACCCCCACGUUUGUUUUAGUCUAACCACAAGUAAAACCUGCCCUCUUAUACUCACUUUCUCACCAGGACUAACGUCCUCAAUUGGGGAGUAUUUACAAACAAAGGCUGCAGAGUCUUUCAACCACAAACCACAUUUCUCAUUUCUGAAAAAUGAAUCUUCAUAAAACACAAAAAAAUCCUCAAAAUAACAGAAUUCAAAGGAAUGAGAUGAGCAUAAUAGCAGUCUAUGUUCAACAGGCAAGUUUAAUGGACCGCUUCUCCCAUGUCCUUGGUCAUUUCCUAAGGCUUCCCUUCUGCUCCAAGGGUACUAGGACUAAAUGUGUACAGCAUCACAGCUGGCAGCUCUUGUAUACUGAUGCCAAUACAUAUUGAAUUAGAUUUCUAUAUAUGUAUUUUGGAGGGACACAAAUACUCAGAUGAUAAUUACUGUAGAGGCUGAUAAGGUUGAAAAUAACCUAUGUAUCUGUGGCCCGGACUCUCAGACAGUACUAUAGAUUCAGAGUCUGUUCCCCCCAAUCUCUUGAGCCAGAUGUGUUUCAAAAUUCAGAAUGUUUUGGGAUGUUAGGAUAGUGACACGGGUCAUACACCUAAUGUAAUGCUGUUCCUCAUGGGGCCUAGGCAGUAUUAUCUAAUAAAAAAUGUCAGCACUAUUUCUGUAGCAAGACACAGUCUGCCAGUGGUAUAAAAGGUGGUUUCCUGACAGUUCACUCGCUCAAAUUUUGUUAACAAAUGAUUCACACAAAUUUUUUGUGGGUAAGACAUGAUAAGAUUUCUAACAUCUAUAGAUGAACUACAGAGAGUGAAACUUUUUUUUUUUUUUUUGCCUUGAGAUGUGAUGAAGGUCCUGGUUUACACAUGGGUAAUCUCCAGUUAUUAUGACGGUAAGUUAAAGACACCCAGCAGGCAAUCAUACAGAUGAGAAAAUUCGUUUACAUAGUUUGAAAUUCAAACACGUAUAGGGAAAAGGUUACAGAAUUAUAAGUCCAAUUCAGAGAAUGACUCAAGGCUUUUGUCGAGUGGUCAGUAGCCACUAACGACCCAGAAUUCUGAGUCUUACUUGCCUAUGUUUUACCAUAAAUAAUGGUCUCCAGCCAUUGCAGGAACUGAUUAAAUUCAAUGCUGUCACUGACAAUACGUUAAUUAUGUUAAAAUUACCCGUUAUAUAGUACUAAUUAUCCUGUAUUUUAUUAUAUUUUAAUAAAAAAUGUAAAAUACAACAAUAUUUUCUUCAGGAGAAAAGUUCCUUCCACCAAGAAUGUGAAGGUGGGUUAAAGUUAAAAGUGUCUUUGAAAGCAUUAAUUAUUCCCCAUCAACCAGAUGCAUAAUUGGAUAGGUAACAGAAAAUACUCCUUUCUUCUUGAUCAGCUUUUAGACUAAUAAUUGAUCUGCUUAUUCCAAAUGUAUUACUAUACUUUAUGGACCAGAGAACUGAAUGUAUCUGAAUGAUUUUGGUAUUGGCCAUUCCCAAAAUGUAAAAUACAACAAUAUUUUCUUCAGGAGAAAAGUUCCUUCCACCAAGAAUGUGAAGGUGGGUUAAAGUUAAAAGUGUCUUUGAAAGCAUUAAUUAUUCCCAAUCAGACUUCCCAAGAUUAGGGAUCUAAUCUAUUUUUUAUUUUUUUAAAUAUGAGGUCUCAGCUAUGUAGCUCUGGCUGGUCAGGAACUCACUAUGUAGCCUAGAUUGGCCUCAAACAUACCUCUGCCUCCUGAGUGCUACAUUCAAAGGUGUAUACAACACCCCCAGUCUUAACCUCAUUAAUUGAUUUAUUUCGAUGUAUUUGCUUAUUUUUAUGUGUGUAGACGUUUUGCCUGAGUGUAUGUGUGCACCACAUGUGUACGGUCCCCUCAGAGGCCAGGAGAGGGCGUGAAAUCCCGUGUAAUUGGUGUAAGUUUGUUGUGAGCAGCCACAUGGGUGCUAGGAACCGAAGGUUUUACUGAGGAGCAGACCAUGCUCUUCCCCGCUGAGCCGUACCUCCAGCCCUUUAGUCUAAUUUCUGAAUCUAGUCUUUUAUGGAGGAGAGGAAGUGAUUUCUUGUAAUUCAUCUCUGAUACCUGUUUCAGAAUAAAGGUUAAAACAUUAAC